UACGGGGGGGGCAAGCGUUGUUCGGAAUUACUGGGCGUAAAGGGCUCGUAGGUGGCCAACUAAGUCAUACGUGAAAUCCCUCGGCUUAACCGGGGAACUGCGUCUGAUACUGGAUGGCUUGAGUUUGGGAGAGGGAUGCGGAAUUCCAGGUGUAGCGGUGAAAUGCGUAGAUAUCUGGAGGAACACCGGUGGCGAAGGCGGCAUCCUGGACCGAGAUUGACACUGAUGAGCGAAAGCUAGGGGAGCAAACGGG
rnacentral:rRNA from 1 species